rnacentral:lncRNA from 1 species
UAUGAGAAUUCAACGGGGCUUUCUGAGUUUAGGAGUAAAGUUUGUGUCGGUCUGACAUGGCAUAUAUUAUUUGGAUACUUUUGAACACAAAAUUUUCUUUACAGAACAAUUGAUGAAACCCUAAGUAUUUCAUUUUCUGAAUGAAGAGAAACAGAGAGAGAGAAAUGAAAGAAGAUCACACAUGAAGACAGAUAUCUACAUCACCUU